GUCUCAGUACCUCAGUGGUUAGAGCAUUGGCAUUGUAUGCCAGAGGACCUGGGUUCGAUUCCCUGUUGAGACU
rfam:Crassostrea gigas strain 05x7-T-G4-1.051#20 contig1283, whole genome shotgun sequence.